ACGGGUGAGUAACGCGUGGGAAUCUACCCAUCUCUACGGAACAACUCCGGGAAACUGGAGCUAAUACCGUAUACGUCCUUCGGGAGAAAGAUUUAUCGGAGAUGGAUGAGCCCGCGUUGGAUUAGCUAGUUGGUGGGGUAAUGGCCUACCAAGGCGACGAUCCAUAGCUGGUCUGAGAGGAUGAUCAGCCACACUGGGACUGAGACACGGCCCAGACUCCUACGGGAGGCAGCAGUGGGGAAUAUUGGACAAUGGGCGCAAGCCUGAUCCAGCCAUGCCGCGUGAGUGAUGAAGGCCCUAGGGUUGUAAAGCUCUUUCAACGGUGAAGAUAAUGACGGUAACCGUAGAAGAAGCCCCGGCUAACUUCGUGCCAGCAGCCGCGGUAAUACGAAGGGGGCUAGCGUUGUUCGGAAUACUGGGCGUAAAGCGCACGUAGGCGGAUACUUAAGUCAGGGGUGAAAUCCCGGGGCUCAACCCCGGAACUGCCUUUGAUACUGGGUAUCUCGAGUCCGGAAGAGGUGAGUGGAAUUCCGAGUGUAGAGGUGAAAUUCGUAGA
rnacentral:rRNA from 1 species